AUACGGAAGGUCCGGGCGUUAUCCGGAUUUAUUGGGUUUAAAGGGAGCGCAGGCGGAGAUGCAAGCGUGACGUCAAAUUUCGGGGCUCAACCCCGUCUCGCGUCGCGAACUGCGUCCCUUGGUUGCGGGAAGGGGAGGCGGAACUCGUGGUGUAGCGGUGAAAUGCAUAGAUAUCACGAAGAACUCCGAUCGCGAAGGCAGCCUUCCGGCCCGUCAACGACGCUCAUGCUCGAAGGUGCGGGUAUCAAACAGGAUUAGAUACCCUGGUAGUCCGCACAGUAAACGAUGGACACCCGCGGUUUGGCCUAUAUGGCUGAGCCGCCAAGCGAAAGCGUUAAGUGUCCCACCUGGGGAGUACGCCGGCAACGGUGAAACUUAAAGGAAUUGGCGGGG
rnacentral:rRNA from 1 species